rnacentral:rRNA from 1 species
GACGAACGCUGGCGGCGUGCUUAACACAUGCAAGUCGAACGGAAAGGCCUGCUUUCCCUUGUGGAUUGCGGGUACUCGAGUGGCGAACGGGUGAGUAAAACGUGAGUGAUCUGCCCCCAACUUGGGUAUAAGCCUGGGAACCUGGGUCUAAUUCCCGAUAGGACUGCAGGGUGGUGCCUGUGGUGGAAAACGAUUUUCUAGUGGUUGGGGAUGAGCUCGCGGCCUAUCAGCUUGUUGGUGGGGUAAUGGCCUACCAAGGCGGGGACGGGUAGCCGGCCUGGGAGGGUGGACGGCCACAUUGGGACUGAGAUACGGCCCAGACGCCUACGGGAGGCAGCAGUGGGGAAUAUUGCACAAUGGGCGGAAGCCUGAUGCAGCGACGCCGCGUUGAGGAUGACGGCCUUCGGGUUGUAAGCUCCUUUCGACCGCGAGGAAGCCACCUGGUUGGAAGGGUGGUGACGGUAGUGGUAGAAGAAGCACCGGCUAACUACGUG